UGGGGAAUAUUGCACAAUGGGCGCAAGCCUGAUGCAGCCAUGCCGCGUGUAUGAAGAAGGCCUUCGGGUUGUAAAGUACUUUCAGCGAGGAGGAAGGCGUUGUGGUUAAUAACCGCAACGAUUGACGUUACUCGCAGAAGAAGCACCGGCUAACUCCGUGCCAGCAGCCGCGGUAAUACGGAGGGUGCAAGCGUUAAUCGGAAUUACUGGGCGUAAAGCGCACGCAGGCGGUCUGUCAAGUCGGAUGUGAAAUCCCCGGGCUCAACCUGGGAACUGCAUCCGAAACUGGCAGGCUAGAGUCUUGUAGAGGGGGGUAGAAUUCCAGGUGUAGCGGUGAAAUGCGUAGAGAUCUGGAGGAAUACCGGUGGCGUAGGCGGCCCCCUGGACAAAGACUGACGCUCAGGUGCGAAAGCGUGGGGAGCAAACA
rnacentral:rRNA from 1 species